CAACGGACAAAUAGAGUCUUGAAACGCUACAUGUAUACAUGCUACAUAUGUAAAGUUAUUCACUGUCAAAGUGGCGAAAAAAUGAAUGGCAGUGAAUGGAAUGCCUACUGCAUGUGAUGGCUUCGUAGCAUUAAAAUGGCGCCAUGGGAGCUACACUUAGAGAGGAAAGGCUUACCCCCUUGAUAAAGACUGGGCGGCCUCUAGUCUAGUUCCAGCGCAUAACUUCCUGUAAAAGUACAGUGUCACUUUUACGUUUCUCAGUAAACAAAUGAGAUACUAUGUGUACAAUGGUGACCCUUUGAGGUGCUUUUUUACCUUUGGACUGAGCCAGACUAGUAGUUUCACAGUGACACCGCCUUUCUUAUAAACUGAGCUAACUGCUGGCUUUAUUAGCAUAUAAACAUGAGAGUGGUAUCAUUCUUCUAAUCUCAUUUUUGACAAGAAAGGGAAUAAGCAUGUGUCCCAAAACAUUUCUUCUUUUAAAUGAGGAUGUGCCUUCUUUGAAUCCACUUUAUUGUGUGAACUAGAAGCUACCAUCUUACUAACGCAAAUACAUGCGAGCUGUGGACAUUUUGUGUUGCUUCACAUCACUGUUCAUGUGUUGUAGCCUCAGUAGCUGUAAGUUGUGGUUGCUGAAGUCUUUUCCUUGAUCUUCCUGCUAGUUUUGACGCAGCAGUCCUGUUUGUGUUGGCUGGUUGUAGCUUCCGAGUUUCAGGAAGUGUUAACUUUGCUCCCAGAUAUGAACAAGAUGUUCAUGUGACUACUCAACUUGUAUAAUAAGAGGUUUAUUGAAUAUUAUAGGAAAAAAGUGUUAUUUAUGACAAAAAGAUGGUUUACUUUUAUUAUUAAUCUCAACAUAUUCAUGAUGCACUUUUUUUGAUUAACACUAUUUCCCCUCUAUGAGUAUUAAAGUAGAUGGAGCUGAGAGGCAGGGAUAUAAUGGGGAGGGAAAGUGACAACUAGCACUACUGCUGACAGUGUAAGACUCCUCUGAAAACAUACAUCACCUUAUUUUCCUACUUCAAAAGUGAUUUAUAGUCUAAAAUUAUAAAUGGUACAGGAUAUAAACCAUAAUAAUGUAUUGCAAUGAAAUACUGCCAUUUUCAUUGUUUUUGCUAACACCUAAUCUAGUGUAAUGAAACAAGCCCCUGCUGUAAAGUUAAAAAGGUUUUUGCACUGCUUUCAACACAAGUGACUUUCCCUCCCUGUGGCUCUUCUCAACAGCAUCUAGUUACUUUAUCUUGUUUAGAAAAAGGGAUAUGAUUAUGAUCAUGUUUAUGCGAUUUUUAUCAUGAUGAAAUUAUGAUAAACUGAUAGCUGUUAAAAAAGAAAAAAAACUUUGCUCUGUUGUCGACUAUUCAGAGAAGGAGGGGGUUAACACUUUUACUUGCUGUCUGUCGCAAUGUCAUGGCAUGAUUGUGUUUUUCUCUGUGAUUUGUUAACACACACAAACAUGCAAAUAUACACACAAACCAACACACGUCAUGUUUUGUUUAAGUUGGCCAUGUCAAGAUAAAUGCAUGAAACAUUGUAGGAUCCCACACCAGUUUACUGGGUAUUUUCAGUCGCUUUUUUUUACAUUUGAUCUUGUUUUUCAUCAGAUUCUGACUCACCUUCGCUUACAACAGACCUGACCUCUGUUUGGCGCCCAUCACUAUUCACAUAGCAGCUGUAGCCGGAUCCAUUAUUUGCUUUUUAUUUGGAUUUUGGAUUUGAAGGCUUUGUCUGAGUGACAGUGACAGUUUUCUCUCUGGUUUGAUAUUCAGGUAGCUGCUCUGAUUCAGACAAUCAAAUGUGUAUCAUAGUUUAUGCAGAUUUAAGAGAGUGUGUAGCAGGAAGCAGGAGACAUUGUGAUAAAAAGCUGAUGUUUGACAUACCGUCUUGUUAGAUUGGUCACCUCACGGCCAUUUUCAAUCUUUUAACACAUCACCAGGUAUGUACUUAUAAUGUUGAAUGUCAUGUAACAUUUGUAUUGACAAGUUAUUAUUUGAUUGACAUACAAAUACAGGCAAACUGAUUUUAAUCAUUUCCUAGUAACUUUGUUACUUUAUCACAAAUUAAAGCAAAGUGUCAGUGAUGUUAAAUGUCAGCUAUGGAAAGGUAGUGAAAAUCUGACAUGUAAUGACCUCCCAGUGCACAUUUCAAUCUGCAGUGUUUACUUACAGUGCAACUGUGUGGCGAUGCGUGAAUCGUGAUUGUGUGAUGGAGGUAUUGAUUGCAUGAGCACUACAGGCAACAGAGAUAAUUCACUGGUCAAAGGCAACCCAGGAGGAGCUCCAAUACAAGGGUGGAGGUUUUUUUUUUUAUGUCAGGGAUAUUAGGGAAUGUUUCCUGACUUCCAGAUCUCCACCCAUCUUGUUGAAUAAUGUCGGUCACAGGCUCGAAACAGCCAUGUGUUGAUUUGUGAUCCAGACUGACAAGCUCAACUCAUCUGUGCAAGCGUGCUUGGCUAGGUCACUGCAUGAUUACGUGACCUUGCUACAGGUUCAUAAUUCUUUCCUUAUCUUCAUGAUGUGGUUUCUUAUCUUGAGUCAAGCAUAUCUUCUUUUUUUGCAAAAAA